AUUGAACGCUGGCGGCAUGCCUUACACAUGCAAGUCGAACGGUAACAGGUCUUCGGAUGCUGACGAGUGGCGAACGGGUGAGUAAUACAUCGGAACGUGCCCGAGAGUGGGGGAUAACGAGGCGAAAGCUUUGCUAAUACCGCAUACGAUCUCAGGAUGAAAGCAGGGGACCGCAAGGCCUUGCGCUUACGGAGCGGCCGAUGGCAGAUUAGGUAGUUGGUGGGAUAAAAGCUUACCAAGCCGACGAUCUGUAGCUGGUCUGAGAGGACGACCAGCCACACUGGGACUGAGACACGGCCCAGACUCCUACGGGAGGCAGCAGUGGGGAAUUUUGGACAAUGGGCGCAAGCCUGAUCCAGCCAUGCCGCGUGCAGGAUGAAGGCCUUCGGGUUGUAAACUGCUUUUGUACGGAACGAAAAGACUCCUUCUAUAAAGGGGGUCCAUGACGGUACCGUAAGAAUAAGCACCGGCUAACUACGUGCCAGCCGCCGCAGUAAUAC
rnacentral:rRNA from 1 species